AAAAAAAAUUAAUUGCAGAGGUAAAAAGGGCAAUGCAAGCAGGAAAAAUUGACAUAGCAAGGUUAGUUAAAAAACAGAACAAAAUAAAACAAAACAAAACAAAACAAAAUAAAACAAAAUAAAACAAAAUAAAACAAAAUAAAACAANNNNNNNNNNAACAAAAUAAAACAAAAUAAAACAAAAUAAAACAAAAUAAAACAAAACAAAACAAAACAAAACAAAACGUAUUUAUCUAUAUUCACAUACUUAUGUUUACUCAUUUAACCAAGGGCGUUUAUAUUCUAAUCAGAAAAAACAAGAAUUAAAAAAAAAAAAAAAAAUUAUAAUAAACAUUAUUUAACAUUCUUAUAUAUAUAUAUUUUACCACUUUAUAUACAAUGGUGCGUUCUGCUAGUAUUUAACUAGGUUUCGCAUAUUAAAGUUGGAUAUAUUUUAUUUAGUUUUGUUUUAUUAAAUUUUACUUUAUUUAGCUCUAUUUUAUUUUUUUUAUCAUCUCAUUAGAAUACACGCGGAAAAAUGCAUAAGAAAAAAAAAUGAAAAAAUGAACUAUCUUAAUUUAAGUAACAAAAUGGAUGUCCUUGUGUCAAGAUUAGAAGCAGCAUACAGAAGUGCAUCGUUAAUUAAUGAUGUUGGUCAAAUGGUACCUAUAAUUAAACAAAUAAAUGAAGAAACAAAUGUGGUCAAAGUGGGGAAUAAUGUUAUGCAGUUAGAAAACAUUUUUGAUGAAAUUACAAUUAGUUCCGAUUUAGUAAACGAUACUGUACAGACUAGUUCUACUAUUAUCGCACCAACAGAAGAGGUUGAUGAAUUAAUAACUAAAAUAGCAGAAGAACAUGCUAUAAAAUUAGAUGGGCAGUUGGGUCCUGUUAGUGCAAUUAAUCAGCAAUUGGAAGAGCUUAAUAAUAUGAGUGAAAGGAUUAAAAAUUUAAAAUAAUAAUUAUAAUAAUAAUGAAGAUAUAAUAUUACAGACUAGUUGUUUUUACUUUUACGUAUUUAUUCUUACCUACAGUUAAGAACAUUUAUGUUUUAUCGGAUGAUUUAUUAUUAUUAUUAUUAUUAUUUUAUUUUUGUUUAUUUUUGUUUAUUUACCCAUUUUCUUAUUACCCUUAAAAUGGAAUUUUUAUAGUACACUCCAAUGGAUGUCAUAUUUUUCGUUUGUUUUUGUAAAAAAAUAAAUAUAUCGGAGUUUGUUGAUAUAUAUAAUGC
rnacentral:lncRNA from 1 species